UCGGGCACACAGCCAGCCUCUCGAUGGGCUGGCCAUCUAGCCUGUCCUGGCACAUACGGUCACAUUAGGCCGUCAGUGUUCCAUUGCAGAGGAUACUGCGAGGCACUAGAGCCUCCAGCAGCCCCAUACUCCCAUACCUUCAGCAAGCUCCACUCGGCCAAGCACAGUGAUGGUGUGUUCGUUUCUCGCUCGCCAGCUCGAGCCAUCCUCGCGAGUCCUUUGCCGACGUUCCCUGGGUGCAAUGUCCUUACGAAAGCUGUGAAGCAGCCAGUUACCGUUGCGAGUUGUGAUGUGAUGGUUUGCAAAGUUCCGUUUUUUUUGCGUUUGCGUUUGUUUUGUGCGAACUAACUAAGCUGUGUGUGUGCGUGUGUGUGAAACGAUGGAAGUGAUUUUCGGCUAAACGGCUUUUAAACUCUGCUCUGUGUGGUAAAAUGUGGUGCUUCCUUUCCUUUUUUUGGUUGGUAUAGCGAGAGUGCAUUUAGGUUGCAACAGUUUUUGUUUGUUUCGCUGUUCGGUUCCUGUUAUGUUGUGUUUGCUGCUUGUGUUGGUUGUUUUACGGGUUUUGCUAAUAGUUAAUGGGCGAAAACAAAUUUUUGAGUGAAUUUGUGGAAUGACACUUCAUCACGUUCAACUUUGGAGGCUCAGCGAUCUGUGCGAUCAUCGAGGGAUGAAGCAGACUUUGUUUUGUUAUAUGAGUUUAGUUGGUUUCGGAAGGCUGUGCUGUAGUGAGGACAAAUAAAAGCUAACAGCAACCUUUCACUUCCACAGUCACGUGAGCGUGGCGUAUAUUACUCUACCCAGGUCCUUCCAUCGCAUAUCGUCCAGGACUUGGGAAGUCAGCUGUAAUUUCGGAAAACUCACGUGUAACCGCAUCACGAAACAGGAAGUCGGCACACUGCAUUUAGCUUUGAGUGCAUGUGUGUGUGCGUGAGUGUGUGGGCCUUAAUCCAUCAGAAGCAGCAGUAGCAGCAGGAUCCUGGUUGCAGUUCCGAUGCAGUUUUGCCGGUUUGUGUUGCAGGUAUAAUUGUCACUUAGCCUUCCAUUCCCACUGACUAGAAUAAGGGUUGUCCGUUCGUUUUCGUUUUUUUUUUGCGGGGCGAGGAUCUCGGCUCAACUCCGAAUGCGAAAGUUCUGAUAUAGGCUUUGCAAAGUUACAGUACACCGUUCACCGGACAGGCUGAUGGGAAUUAAGCCGUGCGAUAGAGGCCGCGGAUAAGGGUUGAACAGUUAAUUGCUUCCGAAAAGUUGCCGUUUUUACCCGGUUGUGACAGUGGGCUCGCGGAACCUUUGGAUGUGUCCUUUGGAGCUGCGAACCUGUGAUUGGGAAACCAGCGACACCGUGUGUCGUUCCAUGCCCUACGGCCGAUGGGAGAAAGAUGGAGAUCCAUUGAUAUGUAAAUCGUGUAAAGGGGUUAAAAGCGGACAGCGUAAACGUACCCAGGCUUAAUCGCACCCAUGCAAAUCAGAAACGGGUGCAGGAUUAGAUGCUCAGCCGACCUCUAACGACCUGCAAUUGACUGCACGGCUACAA